UGAGGAAUAUUGGUCAAUGGGCGGGAGCCUGAACCAGCCAAGCCGCGUGAGGGAAGAAGGCGCUCAGCGUCGUAAACCUCUUAGCCGGGGAACAAAGAGCUUCUCGUGAAGGAGCGUUGAGCGUACCCGGAGAAUAAGCAUCGGCUAACUCCGUGCCAGCAGCCGCGGUAAUACGGAGGAUGCGAGCGUUAUCCGGAUUUAUUGGGUUUAAAGGGUGCGCAGGCGGACGCGCAAGUCUGCGGUCAAAUUCCGGGGCUCAACCCCGGACCGCCGUGGAAACUGUGCGACUAGAGUGGGCGAGAGGCAUGCGGAAUGCGCGGUGUAGCGGUGAAAUGCUUAGAGAUCGCGCAGAACUCCGAUUGCGAAGGCAGCAUGUCGGCGCCUUACUGACGCUCAUGCACGAAAGCGUGGGGAUCGAACAGGAUUAGAUACC
rnacentral:rRNA from 1 species